rnacentral:tRNA from 1 species
CGGCGGGUAGCUCAGCGGCAGAGCCGACAGCUCAUAACUGUCCAUGCGCCGGUUCGAAUCCGGCCCCGCCGACCA